rnacentral:rRNA from 1 species
UACGAGGAGUCAUGCGUGUUCGGUGAUUUAUUGGGCGUAAAGGGCGCGUAGGCGGCGGGGUAAGUCGGGUGUGAAAUCUCAGGGCUACAACCCUCGAAUACUGCACUUGAUACUGCCGUGCUUGAGGACUGGAGAGGAGACUGGAAUUUACGGUGUAGCGGUGAAAUGCGUAGAUAUCGUAAGGAAGACCAGUGGCGAGGCGGGUCUCUGGACAGUUCCUGACGCUGAGGCACGAAGGCCAGGGGAGCAAACGGG